UACGGGGGGGCAAGCGUUGUUCGGAAUUACUGGGCGUAAAGGCUCGUAGGCGGCCAACUAAGUCAGACGUGAAAUCCCCUCGGCUUAACCGGGGAACUGCGUCUGAUACUGGAUGGCUUGAGUUUGGGAGAGGGAUGCGGAAUUCCGAGGUGUAGCGGUGAAAUGCGUAGAUAUCUGGAGGAACACCGGUGGCGAAGGCGGCAUCCUGGACCAACACUGACGCUGAGUGAGCGAAAGCCAGGGAGCAAGCGGG
rnacentral:rRNA from 1 species